rnacentral:rRNA from 1 species
CUGCUGCCUCCCGUAGGAGUUUGGACCGUGUCUCAGUUCCAAUGUGGGGGACCUUCCUCUCAGAACCCCUACGCAUCGUCGGCUUGGUGGGCCGUUGCCCCACCAACUACCUAAUGCGCCGCAUGCCCAUCCGUGGCCGGAGUCGCCCCCUUUGGCCGGAAAGGGAUGUCCCUUCCCGGCGUCAUGCUGUAUUAGGCGGGAUUUCUCCCGGUUAUCCAUCUGUCACGGCCAGGUUGCAUACGUGUUACUCACCCGUGCGCCGGUCGCCGGCGG